CAUUUUAUCAGCUUCCCAGUUUGUUUGAGACAUGUUGUUUUUGUCCAACAAUUCAAACAAACCUUCCUUAAUAAUGUCAGAUCCUUGAAAAAUGAAAAAAACAAUAAUUUUUGGUUACUAAUUAAUUCAAAACAAAAAACAGAAUAAAGAGUAGAGAUAGAAAAGGCAUAAGUGUGUUUGUAUAUAACCUUUUUACAUUUGUGUUUUUUGCAUAUAAAAUUGGAAUCUAGGAGAAUGGAUGGACAGAAAGACUGAUAAAAAAGAAAAAAAUAACUUUUUUAUUUAUUUUCUACAGCUUUUUUUAGUGUUUUAUUCAACUCUGUUUUUCUCAGGGAACUGAAAUUCUCUUUCUUUUUCUGAUGAUGGGUUAUGGAAAAAAAUAAGGGGGUUGGAUUUGCUGGAGCUGAUGUUGCAGAUAUUGUAAUUGUUCUGUAAGUUGAAUUUUGC
rnacentral:lncRNA from 1 species